UACGAAGGGCGCGAGCGUUGUCCGGAUUUAUUGGGCGUAAAGAGCUCGUAGGCGGCUUGUCGCGUCGACUGUGAAAACUCGGGGCUCAACUCCGAGCUUGCAGUCGAUACGGGCAGGCUAGAGUUCGGUAGGGGAGACUGGAAUUCCUGGUGUAGCGGUGAAAUGCGCAGAUAUCAGGAGGAACACCGGUGGCGAAGGCGGGUCUCUGGGCCGAUACUGACGCUGAGGAGCGAAAGCGUGGGGAGCGAACAGG
rnacentral:rRNA from 1 species